CCUACGGGGGGCAGCAGUGGGGAAUAUUGCACAAUGGGCGCAAGCCUGAUGCAGCCAUGCCGCGUGUGUGAAGAAGGCCUUCGGGUUGUAAAGCACUUUCAGCGGGGAGGAAGGCGGUGAGGUUAAUAACCUCAUCGAUUGACGUUACCCGCAGAAGAAGCACCGGCUAACUCCGUGCCAGCAGCCGCGGUAAUACGGAGGGUGCAAGCGUUAAUCGGAAUUACUGGGCGUAAAGCGCACGCAGGCGGUCUGUCAAGUCGGAUGUGAAAUCCCCGGGCUCAACCUGGGAACUGCAUUCGAAACUGGCAGGCUAGCGUCUUGUAGAGGGGGGUAGAAUUCCAGGUGUAGCGGUGAAAUGCGUAGAGAUCUGGAGGAAUACCGGUGGCGAAGGCGGCCCCCUGGACAAAGACUGACGCUCAGGUGCGAAAGCGUGGGGAGCAAACAGGAUUAGAUACCCUAGUAGUC
rnacentral:rRNA from 1 species